rnacentral:lncRNA from 1 species
GACAACUCUUGCCAAUGCUUCUUAAGCAAAUUGCAGCAGAUUUGGUCUCUAAAUUUUGAGACCUAACUUGACAAAUCUUGACCUCAUUUCUUAAUUAAGUCAAACUCAUUAUUAAGUGUGAGUGAAGCCAUCAUUGGAUCCUCACCUAAUAGAUCUUAGGUCCAAUCCCAUCUCCACCUUGCAGUAUCUCAUGCCAAUAGAGUGGUUGCGUCUCCCCUGACGCAACUGAACCACUGUGACC